rnacentral:lncRNA from 1 species
AUUUGAGAAGUUAGAUGAAGAAUAAAGUUCUUGAAAACUAUGAAUUUUUCUCACACACAGGCUCAGAGUUACCAAGAUUGGAAACCAUGAUAUUCCCGCUGUUACAAGAAUGAGUACAUGGAAUAAUAAUUAGGAUAAUUCACAUUUAUAUAGCAUUUUAAAUCAUUUUCCUCAAAAUAAUCUGUGAGGUAGGUAGUACGAGCACAUUAUCAUUUUAUAGAAAAGAAGACUGUCUAUAACUGAUGUGUUCAUUUCCUUUCUUCUUGUUCUCUUUUUAGGUCUCUCCAGUCUGGCUUCUGAUUUCAUUAUUCAGCCAAAACAGAUAUCUCCAAAGUUAUUAAAGGUCUUUUAAUUGUUAAAUCAAAUAGCCUUUCCUCAUCUUCAUUGAUGACCUCUCUAAUCCUUUGAUGCUUUGGUCUUUCUCUUCCUUAUGCCUCCUUUUCUCUAAAUUUUCAGGACACCACUUUCUCCUGGUUCUCUUCCUACCCAUCUCACUACUCCUCAGUCCUCUUUGCUGGAUCUUCAUAUAGGUUCUAUCUUCUAAAGUUCUAAUGAUCACAUCAUGUUCUCUAAGGCAGUGUUUAACAUCAGAUGUAGAGAUCAUCAAGAGAGAGGCUAAUCCAUCUGGGAAAUCAAUCAAGCAUAAAGUCAGAGGUUUUUGAGUUUGACCUCAAUGAAGAAGCAUUUCUAUGAAUGACAAAAUGAUAAAUCUAAAAGAAAGCCUCCAAAUCCCAACUCACACACUGUUGCCUACAUGUCACAUUGAAAGAAAAUAACAAAAACAAAAAUAGGUAUUGUGCUUUGAUUCUUAAAACAUAGUCCUUAUACACACACACACAAAUAUGAGUAUACCCGUAUGACUAUAUAUAUCUUCCUUGCUUCCUUCCUUUUUUCCUUCCUGGCUUCCUUGCUUCCUUGCUUCCUUGCUUCCUUGCUUCCUUCCUUGCUUCCUUGCUUCCUUGCUUCCUUGCUUCCUUGCUUCCUUGCUUCCUUGCUUCCUUCCUUCUUCCUUCCUUCCUUCUUCCUUCCUUCCUUCUUCCUUCCUUCCUUCCUUCCUUCCUUCCUUCCUUCCUUCCUUCCUUCCUUCCUUCCUUCCUUCCUUCCUUCCUUCCUUCCUUCUUCCUUCCUUCCUUCCUUCCUUCCUUCCUUCUUCCUUCCUUCCUUCCUUCCUUCCUUCCUUCCUUCCUUCCUUCCUUCCUUCCUUCCUUCCUUCCUUCCUUCCUUCCUUCCUUCCCAUCUAUCAUCAAUCUACACUCAGAGUCAAGAGAUGGAACAUCUUAUCCAAAGAACAGCAAGGAAGCCAAUAUCACUGGAUCACAGAAUACAUGAGGUUGUGUCUGAAGAACAACAAAGUAAGGAUGAAAAAAUUGUUUCAUUUUAUGCUAACCCUUCAAAUGCUUCAAAAUAGUGUGAUGACUGAUGGGAUUCCAUUCUAUUCCAUUUGGUUCUAUUCAAGUUUGCCAGUAGGACAUGCUGACAUAUCAACUGUCCGUUUCGUGUGUGAGGCCAGACGAAUCCCAGUGGCUGUCUGGACAGGGGAAUGAAUUAGAAGAAAUGUGUUCUUAUCCAGCUGCCUCUUCUCAUUCCACUGGUCCAUAGAGAGGUUUACAGAUGAGCUUUAAUGAUCUUCGAUGAGUAGAGAAAUUUGUGAUACCCUGAAAUCACUCCUGCUCCCAUCCCUUCCCACUGCUGAUCCUUCCUCAUCACAAUAUGUGAUCACCCCUGGGCUUUCGGAGGCUGGGAUUUCACUGGUGCAUCUGCAUUCUUUUGGUGUAUGGCUCCACAGUGAAAUAAAAAUCAUUCUGCCAUGUG